GCCAUUUGAUCAUAAUAAAUAAUUUUAAAAAAUGAUGCAGACCAAGACGAAAAUACGCCUGAUUGAAGCUGAAAUUGAAGAAAUAAAAUAUUUUAAUAUGAGAUACUCCUAUUAAAAGUAUUUCAUUGUUCACAAAACCGAAACCUUUUGAAAUAGUUUUUGAAUACUUUAAGUGAAAUAAGAUAACUUUGAGACAUCUCUACAAAAUUAAAAAAUAGGAAUAUAGGAGGGUAAACUUUCUUAUAUAUGCGAGUG